rnacentral:rRNA from 1 species
GACGAACGCUGGCGGCGUGCUUAACACAUGCAAGUCGAACGGAAAGGCCCUGCUUUUGUGGGGUGCUCGAGUGGCGAACGGGUGAGUAACACGUGAGUAACCUGCCCUUGACUUUGGGAUAACUUCAGGAAACUGGGGCUAAUACCGGAUAGGAGCUCCUGCUGCAUGGUGGGGGUUGGAAAGUUUCGGCGGUUGUGGAUGGACUCGCGGCUUAUCAGCUUGUUGGUGGGGUAGUGGCUUACCAAGGCUUUGAGGGGUAGCCGGCCUGAGAGGGUGACCGGCCACAUGGGGACUGAGAGACGGCCCAGAAUCCUACGGGAGGCAGCAGUGGGGAAUAUGGCACAAUGGGCGGAAGCCUGAUGCAGCAACGCCGCGUGCGGGAUGACGGCCUUCGGGUUGUAAACCGCUUUCGCCUGUGACGAAGCGUGAGUGACGGUAAUGGGUAAAGAAGCACCGGCUAACUACGUG